rnacentral:rRNA from 1 species
CCUACGGGUGGCAGCAGUGGGGAAUAUUGCGCAAUGGGCGAAAGCCUGACGCAGCGACGCCGCGUGAGGGAUGAAGGUCUUCGGAUCGUAAACCUCUGUCAGCAGGGAAGAACGGUCACUGUGCUAAUCAGCAGUGAAUUGACGGUACCUGCAAAGGAAGCACCGGCUAACUCCGUGCCAGCAGCCGCGGUAAUACGGAGGGUGCGAGCGUUAAUCGGAAUUACUGGGCGUAAAGCGCUCGUAGGCGGUAUGUCAAGUCAAGGGUGAAAUCCCCGCGCUCAACGUGGGAACGGCCUUUGAAACUGGGAAACGGGAGUGUAUGAGGGGAUAGUGGAAUUCCAGGUGUAGGAGUGAAAUCCGUAGAUAUCUGGAGGAACAUCAGUGGUGAAGGCGACUAUCUGGCACAUAACUGACGCUGAGGAGCGAAAGCGUGGGUAGCAAACAGGAUUAGAUACCCCAGUAGUC